AGGUUCAGACAUUUGGUGUAUGU
rnacentral:piRNA from 2 species